GACGAACGCUGGCGGCGUGCCUAAUACAUGCAAGUCGAGCGAUGAUUAAAGAUAGCUUGCUAUUUUUAUGAAGAGCGGCGAACGGGUGAGUAACGCGUGGGAAAUCUGUCGAGUAGCGGGGGACAACGUUUGGAAACGAACGCUAAUACCGCAUAACAAUGAGAAUCGCAUGAUUCUUAUUUAAAAGAAGCAAUUGCUUCACUACUUGAUGAUCCCGCGUUGUAUUAGCUAGUUGGUAGUGUAAAGGACUACCAAGGCGAUGAUACAUAGCCGACCUGAGAGGGUGAUCGGCCACACUGGGACUGAGACACGGCCCAGACUCCUACGGGAGGCAGCAGUAGGGAAUCUUCGGCAAUGGGGGCAACCCUGACCGAGCAACGCCGCGUGAGUGAAGAAGGUUUUCGGAUCGUAAAACUCUGUUGUUAGAGAAGAACGUUAAGUAGAGUGGAAAA
rnacentral:rRNA from 1 species